CAAUCCGCAUGUUCGCGCUGCGUAGCGCUGCACCUGACUCAAAGAGCCAGAAGAGGUGCACCCUAAUGAAGUGGCGGCGGACGGAAAAAGGCCACGUGGCUAACCUACCUAUGAGACUGGAAUAUCUUCGGGAAACCGGAGCUAAUGCCGGAUAACAUUUGGAACCGCAUGGUUCUAAAGUAAAAGAUGGUUUUGCUAUCACUUAUAGAUGGACCCGCGCCGUAUUAGCUAGUUGGUAAGGUAACGGCUUACCAAGGCAACGAUACGUAGCCGACCUGAGAGGGUGAUCGGCCACACUGGAACUGAGACACGGUCCAGACUCAUACGGGAGGCAGCAGUAGGGAAUCUUCCGCAAUGGACGAAAGUCUGACGGAGCAACGCCGCGUGAGUGAUGAAGGUUUUCGGAUCGUAAAACUCUGUUAUUAGGAAAGAACAAAUGUGUAAGUAACUGUGCACAUCUUGACGGUACCUAAUCAGAAAGCCACGGCUAACUACGUGCCAGCAGCCGCGGUAAUACGUAGGUGGCAAGCGUUAUCCGGAAUUAUUGGGGCGUAAAGCGCGCGUAGGCGGUUUCUUAAGUCUGAUGUGAAAGCCCACGGCUCAGCCGUGGAGAGUCAUUGGAAACUGGGAAACUUGAGUACAGAAGAGUAAAGUGGAAUUCCAUGUGUAGCGAUGAAAUGCGCAGAGAUAUGGAGGAACACCAGUGGCAGAAGGCGACUUUCUGGUCUGUAACUGACGCUGAUGUGCGAAAGCGUGGGAUCAAACAGGGUUAGAUCCCCUGGUAGACCACAGCCGCUACACGAUGAGUGCUACGUGUUAGGGGUGUUCUCCGGCCCCCUUUAGAGCUGCAACUAACACAUCUAUGCACUCCGCCUGCGGAAGUACUACCGCUAGGUUGAAACUUCAGAGGAACUGGCCGGGGACCCGGCACAAUCGGUGUACAUUGUUGUUUUACUUCGA
rnacentral:rRNA from 1 species